AUGAAAUGAAUUAAUAUUAUCACAGUGAAAAGAGAAGAAAAACUUUCAGCUUUCCAAAUUUAAAAACUUCUUAAUUCAAACUCUAAGCUCAAAGGAGAAGCAAGAAAGACAUGAAGUACAAUACAAGCAACAUAGCUGAGAAAGAAAUGGAAGUACUAAUUAACCUCAAAAGGUUUCAGUUCUUGAUUAUAGAUCUAUGUCCAGAACAUAUGACUUAUUUCAUGUGUGAAAAACAAAGAAAUACAAGAUUAUAUAUGCUUUAAAAUGUGAUUCUUUAUCAUUAGAAGGCUUUAAACAAAUACUAUUAAGCUGUGUUUUGUGAUUGUAGAACAGAAUAAGUCACACUCUUCUGUUAAAAUAUUAGAACUGAUAAAAACUGACCUAAAAAUUAUUCCAUAACUGAUAGCCCAAAUGUUGAAGUUUUAGAGUCAUGAAUUCUAUGAAGUAUUGGAAUAAAU